AAAUCUCGUGGCAAGGCUAAGCCCGUAAUCAGUGAUGAAGAUGAUGAAACAGAUGAGGACUAUGAAUGAGUGACAGAAGACAGUGAAAAGUACAAUGGCCAGGCGCUGUGUGAUUCAGGACUUAUCUUGAGUUUUGACUAUAUUAUACUACAUAAUUAUAUUGAUCUAUUUUGUAUACAUGUAUGUAAAGCUGUGUUCAGUGUAAUCAAUUAUCAUUGUUUAGUGACCAUUGUUUUGUUGAUUCAGUGCAAUGACAUAAGUAAAUAAAGUGUAGUAACAAUGUC
rnacentral:misc_RNA from 1 species